rnacentral:rRNA from 1 species
CAGUCGCCGCGGUAAUGCGUAGGUGGCAAGCGUUGUCCGGAAUUAUUGGGCGUAAAGGGCUCGCAGGCGGUUUCUUAAGUCUGAUGUGAAAGCCCCCGGCUCAACCGGGGAGGGUCAUUGGAAACUGGGAAACUUGAGUGCAGAAGAGGAGAGUGGAAUUCCACGUGUAGCGGUGAAAUGCGUAGAGAUGUGGAGGAACACCAGUGGCGAAGGCGACUCUCUGGUCUGUAACUGACGCUGAGGAGCGAAAGCGUGGGGAGCGAACAGGAUUAGAUACCCGCGUAGUCCCUGUCUCUUAUAU